CUCGGGUCCUUGCGCUUGUGCAGCACGCGGUGAAACCACUGAGCUAAAUCCCCGGCCCGGGAUGCACUAUUUUAAAGUAGGAAUUUCUGGCUUUGAUCCAGCCCCCACCGAUAGUAUUGAUUUGGCUGCUAAUGCAUCCUUAGAGGUUCAGUGGGGGCCAUUUUCAUUAGUCAUCCUGAGGCCAUGAGCUUGGACUCCUCCAGGUUAUUAUGUGCUCAAGCCUUGCUUCCCUGUCCUGCUGAGAUGGCUCCAUUUCUGCUUGAUUUCCUCAUGCUCCCAUCCCUUGCUACUUUGGCUUUCUGAAACAUUGGCCCUUCUGUGACAGUUCCUCCUUGCUCCCUGUUCCUCCUCAUACAGCCUUUUGCUAGAGGGAACUGGUGGAAGUAAGAAACAUCUAAGACAACUUCUGCUCUGGUCUUAACCCAUAUAAGAUGAUGGCAUCUAGUGGGUGACAGCUGGUGUCACUGUGCGUGACUCAUUACCUCCUUGUUGCUCAUCCCUCCUUAGGGGGUGAUCAGAGUGGAAAGAAGGGGGCAGUGAACAGCCUCUGUGCCUAGCCUCAGGUAAAAGAAACCUCCCUCCAGCUCUCCCACCCCAGCAUGGGUGAGAUAGACAUAAAACUCUGACCCAGAUUCUUUCCCAGUAGACUGAGAAUUUCCCUAUCAGGCCUCAGUUCUUGAUAAGAUUCUCACCUGACUUUGGACUUAGAGCCUAUGCUUCUGUCUUCCCUAAGGCAGUACCACUUCUUCCUCUCUUUAACUGCUGUGUGUUGGCAUAGGAAUUCUGCCUGCCUCCUCAGACUCCAACUACUCGAGCUGUGAGCUAUUGCUGGGGCUCACAGAGGCUUGACCUGUAAACCUUUAGUCUGACCCUUAUGAUGAGGGGAAAUGGGUUAAAAAUGUGAAGAGAGAACUCAUACCACAGUCCAUCUUUUCCUGUGGAGGAGGAGGUCUGAUGAGAAUAAAGGAGUAAUACUUGAACAGUGAAAAGAGGCAACUGUCACUCUGAAAAAGGAGAAAGUAGAAGGUGCAUAUGAUAAUUGUUAUGUCUGCAGGGUUUGUUGGUCAGGCCUGAUUCUGAUCACUUUAUAUGUAUUAAAUCAUUCUCAC
rnacentral:lncRNA from 1 species